rnacentral:rRNA from 1 species
AAGUAUCAAUUUAAAAUUUGAUGAAUAGGGAGUUUUGAUUUAAUUGAAAUAACAUUAAUUAUGUAUGUUUUAGUAUAGUAAUAGAACAAAUUUAUUUAUUUAUAGUGGAGUAGUACUGUGAAGGGAAAUUGAAAAAAGUUGAAAAUAAAUUUUUAGAAAAGUAAAUUAAUAUUGUACCUUGUGUAUCAGGGUUUAUUAAAAUUGGAAUAGAGAUUUAUUUUUCCCGAAUUAAAAGGAGCUAAUUUGUUAUGUUGGUUAGUGUGGUACUAUUAUCAAGAAUAGCAAGUUUGUAAUGAAAUAUUAGUCGGUUUUUAAGAUAUCUGGUUCUUCAAGAAAUGAAUUUAAUUCAGUAUUUAAUAGUA